rnacentral:rRNA from 1 species
AUUGAACGCUGGCGGCAGGCCUAACACAUGCAAGUCGAGCGGAUGAAGGGAGCUUGCUCCUGGAUUCAGCGGCGGACGGGUGAGUAAUGCCUAGGAAUCUGCCUGUUAGUGUUGGAUAACGUCCGGAAACGGGCGCUAAUACCGCAUACGUCCUUAGGGAGUAAGUGGGGGAGCUUCGGACCUCACGCUAUCAGAUGAGCCUAGGUCGGAUUAGCUAGUUGGUGGGGUAAAGGCCUACCAAGGCGACGAUCCGUAACUGGUCUGAGAGGAUGAUCAGUCACACUGGAACUGAGACACGGUCCAGACUCCUACGGGAGGCAGCAGUGGGGAAUAUUGGACAAUGGGCGAAAGCCUGAUCCAGCCAUGCCGCGUGUGUGAAGAAGGUCUUCGGAUUGUAAAGCACUUUAAGUUGGGAGGAAGGGCAGUAAGUUAAUACCUUGCUGUUUUGACGUUACCAAAAGAAUAAGCACCGGCUAACUUCGUG